rnacentral:rRNA from 1 species
ACUCCUACGGGAGGCAGCAGUGGGGAAUAUUGCACAAUGGGCGCAAGCCUGAUGCAGCCAUGCCGCGUGUGUGAAGAAGGCCUUCGGGUUGUAAAGCACUUUCAGUCGUGAGGAAGGUAGUGUAGUUAAUAGCUGCAUUAUUUGACGUUAGCGACAGAAGAAGCACCGGCUAACUCCGUGCCAGCAGCCGCGGUAAUACGGAGGGUGCGAGCGUUAAUCGGAAUUACUGGGCGUAAAGCGCAUGCAGGUGGUUUGUUAAGUCAGAUGUGAAAGCCCGGGGCUCAACCUCGGAAUAGCAUUUGAAACUGGCAGACUAGAGUACUGUAGAGGGGGUUAGGAAUUUCAGGUGUAGCGGUGAAAUGCGUAGAGAUCUGAAGGAAUACCGGUGGCGAAGGCGGCCCCUGGACAGAUACUGACACUCAGAUGCGAAAGCGUGGGAGCAAACAGGAUUAGAUACCCCUGGUAGACUGUCA